rnacentral:rRNA from 1 species
UACAGAGGUCUCAAGCGUUGUUCGGAUUCAUUGGGCGUAAAGGGUGCGUAGGUGGUGAGGUAAGUCGGAUGUGAAAGCUCGGAGCUCAACUCCGAAAUGGCAUUGGAAACUACCUCGCUAGAGGAUCGGAGGGGAGACUGGAAUUCUCGGUGUAGCAGUGAAAUGCGUAGAUAUCGAGAGGAACACCAGUGGCGAAGGCGAGUCUCUGGACGAUUCCUGACGCUGAGGCACGAAAGCCAGGGGAGCAAACGGG